UACGUGUGAGUGCAUGUGCGUGUGUGUAUGUAUGUGCACAUGCAUGUGAGCACAGAGGCACACACAUUUGCAUGUA
rnacentral:miRNA from 1 species